CUGCCCGAAAUGCUUGAGCACUGGCUAGCUGGGUUGUGGCUGUUUGGGCAUAUGUGUGCCAUGUCACUGUGCCCUUUACAGGCGGACUCGUUCACGGGCGUGAUACACAGGUUUUUUGUUGUUGCGCUCCUCUGAUGUGUCCGUGCUGGGUGAACCUAUCGAAGCAUCACACGGUAAUUGCCCACCACAGCUCGUUGCUUGGUCACCCGCUGGGUCUAGACGUGCAGGAUGCUCUUAUCCAGUUUCCGGGCUGUCAAUGUUGUUGACGCGUGAAUGUAUGGGCGAUGGUACUGUGCGGAGGGCUUUUCCGUGCGCGUACACGCUCGCGUCACGCCCGUGAUCCUGGCUCUGACUGCCGACUUGUAGACGUGGUGUGAUCCAUUCGGCGACGAAGCUGGAAUUGGCCAGACCGCGCAACCCCAGCGCUGCGGCCAUGUGUCGGUCGCAGUGUCCCUGCGGGCAGGCUGCCUGCGUCGCAUGUUUUGAUGCAUACGCUCAGCCUGGGAGUUGUUGUCUGAUUGGUGAUGAUCUAGCGACCAUCGGUCACGUCUCGAAACACGGGCCAAGGAGUAUAGCAUGUGUGCAAGUCU
rnacentral:rRNA from 1 species